GAUGAACGCUGGCGGCGUGCCUAAUACAUGCAAGUCGAGCGAACAGACGAGGAGCUUGCUCCUCUGACGUAAGCGGCGGACGGGUGAGUAACACGUGGAUAACCUACCUAUAAGACUGGGAUAACUUCGGGAAACCGGAGCUAAUACCGGAUAAUAUAUUGAACCGCAUGGUUCAAUAGUGAAAGACGGUUUUGCUGUCACUUAUAGAUGGAUCCGCGCCGCAUUAGCUAGUUGGUAAGGUAACGGCUUACCAAGGCAACGAUGCGUAGCCGACCUGAGAGGGUGAUCGGCCACACUGGAACUGAGACACGGUCCAGACUCCUACGGGAGGCAGCAGUAGGGAAUCUUCCGCAAUGGGCGAAAGCCUGACGGAGCAACGCCGCGUGAGUGAUGAAGGUCUUCGGAUCGUAAAACUCUGUUAUUAGGGAAGAACAAAUGUGUAAGUAACUAUGCACGUCUUGACGGUACCUAAUCAGUAAGCCACGGCUAACUACGUG
rnacentral:rRNA from 1 species